rnacentral:lncRNA from 1 species
AAUAACACUGGCAGGUAAGUACUAUCAUUAUCCCCAUUUUACAGAUGAGGAAACUGAAACAAACAAGAGGUUAAAUGAUUUGCCCAGAAUUAUAAGCAAAUAUUUGUCUAAGACUGGAUUUGAAUUCAGGUCUUCCUGCCUCCAGGUCAUGGACUCUAACCACUGCACCAACUAGCUGCUGAGAAGAAAGCCAUAGCAUUUUGAAGUCCCAUAGUACUUCUAUCUGAUUGUUAAAUGAAUGGCCUGUGUGUAAGAAUAACUUUUAUCAUUCAACUAUAACUCACAUUUACAAACUGUUUUUCUUACAACAAUUCAGUGAUAUAGAAUCAGCAUGAAUUUCAUCAUCUCCAUUUUCCAGAUGAGGAAAAUGAAGCUCAGACACAUCUGAAUUAUAUGGACAUCUAUUGUCAACCAACCAAUUCAGAAGCCUUCAUGUGCAUCUACUGUGUGUCAGGUUUCAAAAAUCAUCAACCAAGAUGAGCCACUACUGGAUUUGUUUUUAUUUUUUUUUCAACUGAAUUCUAGUUCCAAUAAAGCCACUCAUUCACAGAGCUUAUCCUUCUUCACCUCAUUAGUAUUAGGUUGCUUCACUUUGGGAUUUAUUUUCCCAUGAUUAGCAGAGUAACUGUGGAAAGUGAGAAGACCUGCAGAGGUAAAGAAAGCAAAUGAUGUUGUUUUAGAAGCUGUUGCAUUAUCAUUUCCAUCUGACUAAGAUGGCAUUGAACUUGGGGAUUUAAACAGAAGGAAGAACUCUACACCAGAGGUUUCAAACAGGCAUGCAGCCUUACUGCAACACUGAGUGGGACAGAGAAUAAGUUAAAUGUAAUUGGGUAAUCCUUUACAAAAUAAGUAAAAAUGCAAUGCAACAUAGAUAAUUUUAAUAUAUGAUUUUCUAAGUCUGUAUGUGGCUGCAGGGAUCUUUAUGUACUAUUUAAUGGACCUAGUUUCUAUCUGAGUUUGAUGCCACUGUAUGUGUUCUAGCAAUAAAAACAAUAUCUGCUUAUACA